UUGAUCCUGCCGGAGGCCAUUGCUAUCGGGGUCCGACUUAGCCAUGCUAGUUGCACGGGUUCAGACCCGUGGCAAACAGCUCAGUAACACGUGGCCAAACUACCCUAUGGACGUGGACACCCUCGGGAAACUGAGGCUAAUCCACGAUACGGCUCCCACGCUGGAAUGCGGGGAGCCGGAAAGGCUCCGGCGCCUUAGGAUGUGGCUGCGGCCGAUUAGGUAGACGGUGGGGUAACGGCCCACCGUGCCGAUAAUCGGUACGGGAUGUGAGAGCAAAUAGCCCGGAGAUGGAAUCUGAGACAAGAUUCCAGGCCCUACGGGGCGCAGCAGGCGCGAAACCUUUACACUGCACGCCAGUGCGAUAAGGGGACCCCGAGUGCGAGGGCAUACAGUCCUCGCUUUUGUACACCGUAAGGAGGUGUACGAAUAAGGGCUGGGCAAGACCGGUGCCAGCCGCCGCGGUAAUACCGGCAGCCCGAGUGAUGGCCGCUGUUAUUGGGCCUAAAGCGUCCGUAGCCGGCCGAACAAGUCUGUCGGGAAAUCCAUCCGCCUAACGGAUGGGCGUCCGGCAGAAACUGUUCGGCUUGGGGCCGGAAGAUCCGAGGGGUACGUCCGGGGUAGGAGUGAAAUCCUGUAAUCCUGGACGGACCGCCGGUGGCGAAAGCGCCUCGGAAGGACGGACCCGACGGUGAGGGACGAAAGCUGGGGUCUCGAACCGGAUUAGAUACC
rnacentral:rRNA from 1 species